UACGGAGGGUGCAAGCGUUGUCCGGAAUCACUGGGCGUAAAGGGCGCGUAGGCGGCUCAUGAAGGCUGUGGUGAAAGUCCGGGGCUCAACCUCGGAUCGGCCGUGGCGACUCGUGGGCUGGAGCACUGUAGAGGCGGGUGGAAUUCCGGGUGUAGCGGUGGAAUGCGUAGAGAUCGGGAGGAACACCAGUGGCGAAGGCGGCUUCCUGGCCUGCAACUGACGCUGAGACGCGAAAGCGUGGGGAGCGAACAGG
rnacentral:rRNA from 1 species